GGAGAGUCUCCGCGCCAUAUUACGGGAUGCAGCGGCUUGGGGCGGCUGAGGGGGGGGCGUGGCGCGCGGGCGGGGCACAGAGUCUCGGGGGUCCCUGGCCUGGGGCCGGCCAGCUGCCUCCUUGGGUCCACUCGGCAUGCGCCUUUGCCAUCCCGUGCCACCACCCGCGCGACAGACGCUAUCGCCACUGCCCUCGCGCAGGGCGCUGGACGCGGCCGGCGUGGAUCAAGGCGUGCGGCCCACUCGGGUGUCCGCGUGGGGCCGAUCACGGGGCACGCGCGCGAGGAAGGGGCGGGUCGCGGACACGGGGGGCCCGCUAGACGCGUGGACCCGAUCCGACGCCAGGACGGCUGGCCCUCGCGCGCCAGGGCGUAGCUGCGGCGCAGCAGAGGUGAGUGAGCUGUAGCUGUUUUUUGCUUUCUCAAGUUUUUUUUUAUGAGAGCGUUUUUUGGAUGGAAAAACAUACAAAAAGGGAAACUUUUUGUUUUUCUGGAGGUCAAAAGCUUUUCGCCUAUGGUGGAUAUAUUCCCUACCACCACGCCGUUGGACUUCGACCGAAAGGUGUGAACCGUAUUCCGGAUGUGGUGCGCACUUUGGUUGGGAAAAUGCGUGUCGCUACGUCUGUUUUGUGGUGAAAGCUGCAGUGCUACCUUUUGGUCGUGGGGGCAAAAGGGCCGGUGGCCAUGAGGCGUGGGUGGAUCUAGGCUGUGGGCUGUAAGGCCGCUGGGGGUGGCUUUGAGGGAAACCGGGGAUAUGACAGAGCUCAGGUGAUUUGUGCGGCGGGAUACGAAAGAAUCGGGUGUGAUUCAGAGGCUCCUGCUUUCAUUUGUUGAUGCUUUACACCUUGCGGCAAAGUGUGGCACCUCAGUUUAUCCCCGGGGGUGGUGGAGUGGUGGGGAGGUGUUGAUGGAGUGGUCGGGGUGGGAAUUGGUAAGCUGUAAAGGGGCCGGCUUUUCAAAGUCUGCUGGUGAAGCUGUUUUUGCUUUCUUAUUACAUGUGGGCUGAUAUCAUUGCCGGCUCUUAGGUGCAGAGGUGGCGGACUGAUGCGCCGACAAACACCGGACAGGCACGUUGCCUCGUCGUCUCUCAGCUUGAUUCUGUUGUCGCGGACUCAUUUCGAGUUGGUUUAUGCCGUCAGCUUCCUGUCUUCUGCGUUCCGUGGGCUUGGGGCUGCGGUUUUCUUGACUGAAUGCUUUGUUUCUAAGGAGUAGUCGCUGGGAGUGGCGGUUUGACCUGUUUGAGCUUGAUAGCAGGUGGUGGUGGUGGCAGGGUUCACAAAAAGCCUUUGCGAGUGAUUUCUCGCAGCUUUAUUGCUGACGAUAGGGGGGGGGAGGUGAGUUUAUGAGGCUCCUUCGGUGGCUCCAUUGUAGGUGUGGAGAGUGUUUGCGGCGACUGGACGACUUGGCAGUGCUGACGGUGCGUUUCGGUUGGCUCGUACCUGGAAUAAAACACCUUUGCAAGAUUCAAGAGCAGAGGAAAAAGCCAUUUUCUGUGGUUUCAACGUGUCGUACUGAAGGGCCGCUGGCUGCGGUCGGGGUCAGCUAGCGGUGACUGAACGCUGUGUUAGGUGUUGGUGAAAUCAUCUAAGUGGAACUUGAAGCAUCGGCGGGCUGACAUACAAAAGCUGUUCGAAUGCAGCUUAAGUGCUUCUGCAAUGCACUCCUGAUGCCCGACUAAGCAGUUGCUUGCUUGAAAGGUAACACACUAGCUCGCACGUGUUUGAUGGCGCACUGCUUGAACGGUUCUUUUGAAUCAUACUCCUGGUUUGGCGCGCGGUUUAGUGUGUGCAAUGAGAUUUGGUAAAAACGAGUCUCCCAGCGCUUGUUUCCCUCGUUGUCUCUGUUUCAG
rnacentral:misc_RNA from 1 species